rnacentral:rRNA from 1 species
CCUACGGGGGGCUGCAGUGAGGAAUAUUGGUCAAUGGCCGGAAGGCUGAACCAGCCAAGCCGCGUGAAGGACGAAGGUGCCAAGCAUUUUAAAUUUCUUUUGUCAAGGGACAAAAUCAGGCUCGAGAGCAUGACCGAGGGUACUUGAAGAAAAAGCAUCGGCUAACACCGUGCCAGCAGCCGCGGUAAUACGGAGGAUGCGAGCGUUAUCCGGAUUUAUGGGGUUAAAGGGGUGCGUAGGCGGGCUGUUAAGUCAGCGGUAAAAGCCCGGUGCUCAACCCCGGCGAGCCGUUGAAACUGGCUAUCUUGAGAUGUCGAGAGGUAUGCGGAAUGCGCAGUGUAGCGGUGAAAUGCUUAGAUAUUGCGCAGAACUCCGAUUGCGAAGGCAGCAUACCGGCGGCGAUCUGACGCUGAGGCACGAAAGCGUGGGUAUCGAACAGGAUUAGAUACCCCUGUAGUC